rnacentral:rRNA from 1 species
CAGUAGCCGCGGGAACACGAAGGGUGCAAGCGUUACUCGGAAUUACUGGGCGUAAAGCGUGCGUAGGUGGUGGUUUAAGUCCGUUGUGAAAGCCCUGGGCUCAACCUGGGAAUUGCAGUGGAUACUGGGUCACUAGAGUGUGGUAGAGGAUAGUGGAAUUUCCGGUGUAGCAGUGAAAUGCGUAGAGAUCGGAAGGAACAUCUGUGGCGAAGGCGACUAUCUGGGCCAACACUGACACUGAGGCACGAAAGCGUGGGGAGCAAACAGGAUUAGAUACCCCUGUAGUCCCUGUCUCUUAUAC